rnacentral:rRNA from 1 species
GAAACAGUGGCUAAGACUGGUAGGAAGAUAAAAGGCUCUUUUAUCUUUUAAAAGACCUAGUAAUAGGUAUGCUUUAGGAGGGGCUUGCGCCAUAUUAGUUAGUUGGUAGGGUAAUGGCCUACCAAGACGAUGAUGUGUAGCUGGACUGAGAGGUUGAACAGCCACAUUGGGACUGAGACACGGCCCAAACUCCUACGGGGGGCAGCAGUAGGGAAUUUUCGGCAAUGGAGGAAACUCUGACCGAGCAACGCCGCGUGAAUGACGAAGUACUUCGGUAUGUAAAGUUCUUUUAUCAAGGAAGAAAAGCAAAUGGCGAACCAUUUGUUUGCCGGUACUUGAUGAAUAAGCCCCGGCUAAUUAUGUGCCAGCAGCCGCGGUAAGACAUAAGGGGCAAGUGUUAUCCGGAAUUAUUGGGCGUAAAGGGUGCGUAGGCGGUCUAGUAAGUCAGUGGUGUAAUGGCAACGCUUAACGUUGUCCGGCUAUUGAAACUGCUAAACUUGAGUUAGAUAGAGGCGAGUGGAAUUCCAUGUGUAGCGGUAAAAUGCGUAAAUAUAUGGAGGAACACCAGAGGCGUAGGCGGCUCGCUGGGUCUUAACUGACGCUGAGGCACGAAAGCGUGGGGAGCAAACAGGAUUAGAUACCCUGGUAGUCCACGCCGUAAACGAUGAGUACUAAGUGUCGGGUUAAACCGGUACUGAAGUUAACACAUUAAGUACUCCGCCUGAGUAGUACGUACGCAAGUAUGAAACUUAAAGGAAUUGACGGGACUCCGCACAAGCGGUGGAUCAUGUUGUUUAAUUCGAAGAUACCCGAAAAACCUUACCAGGUCUUGACAUGUUUUUGCAAAAUGAUAGUAAUAUCGUGGAGGUUACCAGAAACACAGGUGGUGCAUGGUUGUCGUCAGCUCGUGUCGUGAGAUGUUAGGUUAAGUCCUAAAACGAGCGAAACCCUUAUCGUUAGUUGCCAGCACGUUAUUGGUGGGGACUUUAACGAGACUGCCAAUGAUAAAUUUGGAGGAAAGGUGAGGAUCACGUCAAAUCAGCAUGCCCCCUUAUGACCUGGGCUACAAACGUGAUACAAUGGCUGUUACAAAGGGUAGCUGAAACGCAAGUUCUUGGCCAAUCCCCAAAAACAGUCCCAGUCCGGAUUGAAGUCUGCAACUCGACUUCAUGAAGUUGGAAUCGCUAGUAAUCCGCGAAUCAGCAUGUCGCGGUGAAUACGUUCUCGGGGUUUGUACACACCGCCCGUCA